UGUUAUUUUAUACUUACAUUAUGUUAGGCACUUAUGUCUCGUCGGUCAAUAGACGCUUCAGGCUACAAUUUAAACAAGUUUCAAAUAUUUUAAAAAGAGUUUAGUCAAGACGAAGGGGAAGUGACCAUGCCUUUGGUAGGCCUUGAAAAGGCUCCAUCUCUACUCGUAGAGAUAAACAGCAACAGCAACAACACCGAUGAGGACGGCAGCAACAACAGUAACAACACCACCACCAACAACAACAGUAAGAACAUCAAGCUAUACUUGUUCGUUCACACCAACUAAAAGUUGUGUCAUCUAGUUGACAUGAAACUUGAACCAAUCUGAGAAAAUGAAUCAAAAUUGGAAUUAGAUAAAAAAAAUGAAGUGGCAAAGCCAACGUAAUAAACACCUGCCUCCUUAAAUUGGAAGUACUUAAAUUAGAAAAUAUCAGUAAAUUAAUGUUCUGCUCCUACACAUAGAAGUGUGUUGAUAUUCACUGAAGAUGACCUUGCUAAAUAGUUAAUUGAAGAGAAUUGAAGAAAAAAAAAACUCUUAAGCCAGAAGAAUUUGGCAUGAUAAUUAGAAUAAAUAUGAAGAGCUUCUUUGCAAAGGUUAAAUCAGUACCCUAGAAAUGAUGUUAGACUCGGACUAACAGCUUCAAGGUUCAAACACUCGGAUCAAUAUUUACGUCAACUUGCAACAAUUUAUUCCAUUACUUCAUACAAUUUCUAACGAGCAACCAUUCCACUAAUGAACCAAUUCAAAGUCACUAAAGUUCAGUGAUUGAUUAUCGAUUUUGUUUUGUUGCCUAGCAUCAUUCUA